UUGGACAGGGCACGUUUGCUGGGAGUUUUACCUGACUGUAUCUAUAACCCCAGCUACAGCAUAAAGGGAUAUCCUUUAAUGCGCUACCAGGGCCUGCAGUUUGUGCACCUGACGUACGUGUAUCCUAAUGACUACACACGGCUCACACACAUGGAGAACGAUAACAAAUGUUUCUACCAUGGGAAUCCAUAUUACCUGGAAAGAUACGGCUUCUCAAACUACAUUCAACUGGAUUUGCCUGAAAAUGAGGAGUUAGUCAUCAAAUACAAAGG